UGGUGCUGAGCACUCUUGGGACGGUGCUCAGCACACUCGGGAUGGUGCUCAGCACCCUCGGGUCUCAUCCUGCACCCUCGGGACUCAUCCUGCACAGUCGUGAGGGUGCGGAGCACCUUCCCGAGGGUGCUGAGCACCGUCCCGAGAGUGUUUAGGACCAUCCCGGGGGUGCUCAGCACCAUCCCGGGGGUGCAGGAUGAGUCCCGAGGGUGCAGGAUGAGUCCCGAGGGUGCAGGAUGAGUGCCGAGGGUGCUGAGCACCAUCCCAAGGGUGCUGAGCACCAUCCCAAGGGUGCAGGAUGAGUCCCGAGGGUGCUGAGCACCUUCCA
rnacentral:lncRNA from 1 species